GACGAACGCUGGCGGCGUGCUUAACACAUGCAAGUCGAACGGAAAGGCCCGGCUUUUGUGGGGUGCUCGAGUGGCGAACGGGGGAGUAACACGUGAGUAACCUGCCCUUGACUGUGGGAUAACUUCAGGAAACUGGGGCGAAUACCGGAUAGGAGCUCCUGCUGCAUGGUGGGGGUUGGAAAGUUUCGGCGGUUGGGGAUGGACUCGCGGCUUAUCAGCUUGUUGGUGGGGUAGUGGCUUACCAAGGCUUUGACGGGUAGCCGGCCUGAGAGGGUGACCGGCCACAUUGGGACUGAGAUACGGCCCAGACUCCUACGGGAGGCAGCAGUGGGGAAUAUUGCACAAUGGGCGGAAGCCUGAUGCAGCAACGCCGCGUGCGGGAUGACGGCCUUCGGGUUGUAAACCGCUUUCGCCUGUGACGAAGCGUGAGUGACGGUAAUGGGUAAAGAAGCACCGGCUAACUACGUG
rnacentral:rRNA from 1 species